UGAGUGGUGCGGGACAAGCGGUUCAACUGCGGUGCGGUUUUAACAGUUAUAAAAAUGUAUAAAUAUAUAAUAUAUAUAGAGAUUUUUAUUACUGUUAACUGCAGGGCGGGGCGGAACGAUGAUCACCGUUCGAAGCCAAUAACCCAUCAUCGAUGUUAAGUGCACGAGUUGGCACAUUCGUGUUGGUCAACACAGAGUUACUAUCAUUUAACAUAAUCGCAUGUGGUUGGUAGGUGAGUGCCACCGUCCUAUUUAAUUUAGUGGCUUUAUUAAAGCAUGUUUUCAAAUGUGACCUUAUAUUUUUAAAAUAAUGGUAUAUAUUUUAUAAUCUAACUUUUAUUAAUAUUUAAAUUUUGAAAUAAUAUAAAAUAUAUGAAUAAUAAUUAAAAUUGUAAUAAUAAACUCGAUCAACGUCCCUAAUUCCGUCUAGUUUGUAACUUAUAAGAGAAAAGCAAAAGCCUAUGGAGUCCAAGUAAACCAAUUAACUAAGUCAAAGAGUUCGAAAACGAGCCUGUAAGGGAGACACCCAGGAUAAGUAUCGUGUCCACAAAGAACUCAAAUGCAAUAUUAUUCACACAUAUAUAUUACAAAAAUCGAAUAGACAUGCACUUGUGCUGAGAAAAAGACACAUCUUUGUUUUACAUUCUUUGAGAAAUCCUAACAUACUGUCGUUAGGUCAUUUCAGUCUUUCAUGAGCUAUGUAAGCUUGAGAGCUUCUUCAUUAUGCAACUUCAAAGUGAUCCUAAGCUUUCUUAGUUUUUUCAUAGGUGACAGCAGUGCCGUGCGAAGGUUUUCGGAGGCCCGAGACGAGUUCAAAAAUAUAUUUUACAUGAUAUAUUUUCAAUAAUAUAUAUAUAUAUAACACUCAAAAGUUUUGAAUUAUUACAUAAACGUUUUCUAAAUUUUUUUCACCAAAAUUUUAUAAAAUAAAAUUUUUAAAUCAUGAACAAAAAGUAUGAAUUUGUAAUAUAAAUACAAAGAUAUAAAUUUUUUGAUUGAAAUAUUGGUAGCUGUCAAAAAAAAAUGUAAAUCUUAGCAUUUAAAUUAACUAUAAUAAACUACUUAGAAGAUAUUAUGCUUCUGAAAAGAAGGUUCACCAACUCAAGCAUCGUUCAUGUCCCCAGGACGGAAAACACAAAGGCGGAUCGUUUGGCACGUAGUGCUCGGAUUCAGUCGUCUUUCGUCAUAUACAUGGAUGCAGAGUUGCCGCCUUGAUUUACAGAGUCUAUAUGAGUCUGUAGGUUGUUGCUGUCAAAAAAAAAUAACUAUAAUAAACUAUAUAUUGAAAAUAUUAUAUUUUCUUUACCAAAUUCUCAUAAAUAUAUAAAAUAAAUCUAGCUCAUAGCAUAUAAAAGAAAAGAGCAAUGUAAUCAAAUAUUUACAAUUUUUUUAGAAGUAGAAUUUUUAUAGUUUUUUUUAAUAUAGCAAAAAUGAUCACAAACCUAGUUACUUUGAACAGAAGUCCAAUUUAAAUUCAAAUAAAAAUAAAAAUCCAACUAAGAAAAUAUGUUAACUACCAUGUAAAAGUAUUUUUUUGUAAUUUAGAGCCCUAAAUUUUUUACAAAAUUUGGAGGCCGUAGGCAAGUGCUUUUUUCAAAAGCCUAUAAGCACGGUUCUGCUGUGACAGGCUUGUAUAACCGCGGGUGUUCAGCUAGCAUCCACGUCCUCGUUGUUGUUUCUUUGCAUUGCAAUUAUUCCUCACGUUGCACAGCCUCCCAAUGCUUUACAUUGUAGUUGUUUGAUAGCAGCUGUGUUUCAAUAUGUGUUAAUGGGAAAGAGCAUUCUCGAAGAACUAUCCGUGGCUUGAAGUCUACGUGGCUAAUGAUCUAAACGUGAAUCGCGUGAAAUGGUUCAAAGAAUUAAAAAUGGGAGUCAUCAACACAUCAUAGAGGAAUAAUUUAUAGAAACAUUUACCCUCCAAGACACAUUAUGAGUUAUCAAUUACACAUAAAGACAUAUUGAGUUAAGAGAACACUUUCUUAUGUUCAUUUGUCUGAAUUGCCCUUCAACUAAAAAGAAGAUGUCAUAACAUGUGUCAAAAUUAUUUUCAAUAUAAUUCCAUUUAACUUUCACCUUUUAGUUUCAUAUUUUUUAAUUCCCUAAACUUAAUCAUGCCUCCAUCUAUCAUCAUCUUCAUCUCUCAUCUUUCGUAUCCUUCUAAAUAUUCUUCUACUUUACUAAAUUUGUAGAUUUUUUUUUUUAUAAUUCUAAAUUACUAAUUUUUGUUGUCGAAUCUUUAUCUUUCACCACUUUAUUUUUUAAAUCUCGAAUUCAUGGAAACCUCAGAUUGGGAGCUAAGGAAAGUCGAUUCUGAAAUUUCAGCUUGGGUGAUUCUAGAUCUUCGCCGACGAAUACAUCCAAGACAGCAAAACCGAUGUAUCUCCUGCAACAUUUGAUUCACAUGUCGCCCAUCCUUUUCAUGUCCAUCAAUUUCCUUGUCCACAAAUGAACUAUCCACAAAGCUGUCUUGGAUCUAAGUUUGAUUCACAUGUCGCUCAUCCUUUUCAGUGGAUUAGCUCGUGAUUUUCCGUGGAUGAACUUGGGAUUCGACGUGGAUGAACUCGAGGUAGUUGCCUUGGAUCUAAGUUUUUUAUCUCUUCAUGGUGGCUUCUGUUGCAGAGAGAAAGCUCUAAAAGAAACAAUGGUCAAAUUACUCUAUUUUACACAUAUAGUCCUCCCAUUUUUGGAUUUUUGCAAUUUGACCCCAACAUUCUUUAAUUUACUUAUAGAUCCUCUUGAUUUCGUCUCAAACUUUUAAUUAUGUACUUUACGUAAGAAUAAUUUUCUUAUCAACUCAUAUCCACACUUGCUAUGUCCAUUAAAUAUUAUUUAAUAAAAUAAAAAUUUAUAAAAUAUCAAAAAUAUAUAUAUGGAUACAAAUAUAUUUUGUCCAUAGAAACUUGUCCACAAAAACAUUAUAACAUUUUUGUGUCCACAUAAAUUAUGUCCACAGAAGCUUGUCCACAGAAGCUUGUCUACAUAAAUUGCGUCCAUUGAAUUGCGUCCACACAAAAAGCUUAAUCCCUUUCUCUCUUUCAAAACGUCACAAUACAAUAUGUUCUCUAGAUGGAUUAUCUUCAAACAAACAACACAAACCCUAGAUAGAUUAAACUUCAAACACGAUCUUUGUCUACAAUAACAUGUUCACAAACAGUCAUAGUUACACAACUAUAAUUGUAAGAGCUUGUCCAUAAGAACAGGUCCACUACAAACUUGUUUAUAAGAACACAUUCACAUGACUCUUGUCCACAACAUAUAUAUCCACCAGAAAACUGUCCACAAUGUUAACACUCGUCCACAAUUCGUCUAUCCAUAUAACACUCGUCCACAAUUCAUCUGUCCACAUAACACUCGUCCACAAAGACGUAUCCAUAAAAAAAUGUUACAAAAACCUGUCUCCAAUCCAUGCUACAACUUCUUUAUUUUAUUCAUGAUUGAUAAAAGAGAGAGACAUCAAGUAUAAGAACAUAGUUGUUGUCCUUUUAUUGGUAGAAAACUAUAAUUUGAGGAUUGUGAAGCAGAAGUAGAGAAAUAAAAUUUAUUGGGGUCUAAACUGCACAACUGAAAGUUUGGUGUUAAUUUAAGAGGACAUUUCUGCAAAACAAUCGAAAGAAAUCAAAAAGUGAAGGACCAAAUCUGAAAAUUAUUGAAAA